AGAGUUUGAUCCUGGCUCAGGAUGAACGCUAGCGGCAGGCUUAACACAUGCAAGUCGAGGGGUAUAAGUCUUCGGAUUUAGAGACCGGCGCACGGGUGCGUAACGCGUAUGCAAUCUACCUUUUACAGAGGGAUAGCCCAGAGAAAUUUGGAUUAAUACCUCAUAGUAUAUAGAGUUGGCAUCAACACUAUAUUAAAGUCACAACGGUAAAAGAUGAGCAUGCGUCCCAUUAGCUUGUUGGUAGGGUAACGGCUUACCAAGGCUACGAUGGGUAGGGGUCCUGAGAGGGAGAUCCCCCACACUGGUACUGAGACACGGACCAGACUCCUACGGGAGGCAGCAGUGAGGAAUAUUGGUCAAUGGACGCAAGUCUGAACCAGCCAUGCCGCGUGCAGGAUGACGGUCCUAUGGAUUGUAAACUGCUUUUGCACAGGAAGAAACAACUCUACGUGUAGAAUCUUGACGGUACUGUGAGAAUAAGGAUCGGCUAACUCCGUGCCAGCAGCCGCGGUAAUACGGAGGAUCCAAGCGUUAUCCGGAAUCAUUGGGUUUGAAGGGUCCGUAGGCGGUUUAGUAAGUCAGUGGUGAAAGCCCAUCGCUCAACGGUGGAACGGCCAUUGAUACUGCUAAACUUGAAUUAUUAGGAAGUAACUAGAAUAUGUAGUGUAGCGGUGAAAUGCUUAGAGAUUACAUGGAAUACCAAUUGCGAAGGCAGGUUACUACUAAUGGAUUGACGCUGAUGGACGAAAGCGUGGGUAGCGAACAGGAUUAGAUACCCUGGUAGUCCACGCCGUAAACGAUGGAUACUAGCUGUUGGAAGCAAUUUCAGUGGCUAAGCGAAAGUGAUAAGUAUCCCACCUGGGGAGUACGUUCGCAAGAAUGAAACUCAAAGGAAUUGACGGGGGCCCGCACAAGCGGUGGAGCAUGUGGUUUAAUUCGAUGAUACGCGAGGAACCUUACCAAGGCUUAAAUGUAGAUUGACCGGUUUGGAAACAGACUUUUCGCAAGACAAUUUACAAGGUGCUGCAUGGUUGUCGUCAGCUCGUGCCGUGAGGUGUCAGGUUAAGUCCUAUAACGAGCGCAACCCCUGUUGUUAGUUGCCAGCGAGUCAUGUCGGGAACUCUAACAAGACUGCCAGUGUAAACUGUGAGGAAGGUGGGGAUGACGUCAAAUCAUCACGGCCCUUACGCCUUGGGCUACACACGUGCUACAAUGGCCGGUACAGAGAGCAGCCACUGGGCGACCAGGAGCGAAUCUACAAAACCGGUCACAGUUCGGAUCGGAGUCUGCAACUCGACUCCGUGAAGCUGGAAUCGCUAGUAAUCGGAUAUCAGCCAUGAUCCGGUGAAUGCGUUCCCGGGCCUUGUACACACCGCCCGUCAAGCCAUGGAAGCUGGGGGUGCCUGAAGUCGGUGACCGCAAGGAGCUGCCUAGGGUAAAACUGGUAACUAGGGCUAAGUCGUAACAAGGUA
rnacentral:rRNA from 1 species